GCCAGGCGCUGCCCUCAGUGUCCCCAAGUCCGGGCCGCGGCCGCCGCCCCCGCCUGGGCCGCGCUCCCCCUCUCCCGCUCCCUCCCUCCCUGCUCCAACUCCUCCUCCUUCUCCAUGCCUCUGUUCCUCCUGCUCUUACUUGUCUUGCUCCUGCUGCUCGAGGACGCUGGAGCCCAGCAAGGUGAUGGAUGUGGACACACUGUACUAGGCCCUGAGAGUGGAACCCUUACAUCCAUAAACUACCCACAGACCUAUCCCAACAGCACUGUCUGUGAAUGGGAGAUCCGUGUAAAGAUGGGAGAGAGAGUUCGCAUCAAAUUUGGUGACUUUGACAUUGAAGAUUCUGAUUCUUGUCACUUUAAUUACUUGAGAAUUUAUAAUGGAAUUGGAGUCAGCAGAACUGAAAUAGGCAAAUACUGUGGUCUGGGGUUGCAAAUGAACCAUUCAAUUGAAUCAAAAGGCAAUGAAAUCACAUUGCUGUUCAUGAGUGGAAUCCAUGUUUCUGGACGCGGAUUUUUGGCCUCAUACUCUGUUAUAGAUAAACAAGAUCUAAUUACUUGUUUGGACACUGCAUCCAAUUUUUUGGAACCUGAGUUCAGCGUGACUUUUCUUCAUAGCAGAAUCA
rnacentral:lncRNA from 1 species